rnacentral:rRNA from 1 species
AUUGAACGCUGGCGGCAGGCCUAACACAUGCAAGUCGAACGAGUGGCGGACGGGUGAGUAAUGUAUGGGGAACUGCCCGAUGGGGGGGGAUAACUACUGGAAACGGUGGCUAAUACCGCAUACCAUCGGAUGUGCCCAGAUGGGAUUCGCUUGUAGGUAAGGUAACGGCUAACCUAGGCGACGAUCCCUAGCUGGUCUGAGAGGAUGACCAGCCACACUGGAACUGAGACACGGUGCAGACUCCUACGGUAGGCAGCAGUGGGGAAUAUUGGACUAUGGGCGAAAGCCUGAUCCAGCCAUGCCGCGUGUAUGAAGAAGGUCUUCGGAUUGUAAAGGACGUUAAGUUGGGAGGCGUUACCAACAGAAUAAGCACCGGCUAACUUCGUGCCAGCAGCCGCGGUAAUUC